GAGAUGCCCUUAAGCGCCAACAUGAUGGAGUACUGUUGUGCGAGUUCCCCUUUACCAACCCCGUCCACACCGACUAAGCUAUUUUGGCCACGCACCGCUUCGACCGAAAGAAUAAUUUGGGGAGAGAUUGAAAGAGGCAACCGGAGAAGAAAGGAGUGAAUCGGCUUUAAUUAGAUGUUGAAUUUCUUAAGUUUUUACUCUCAUGGCAAUUCGCAGAUGGAUUGAUUAUCCUGUUCCAUUGAAUUGAAUUGGAAGAUCAUUCUUUUUACACAGAUCUAUGCUUGCUGCCGAUUAUUGGGAUUUCUCAAGAAUUUGGCUGGGUUGGAUAAUCAAUUUCAAACCUUAACUGAGGUUUUCAAAUCAGUUGUGAGUUGAUUUGAAGCUGAGAAAGAAGGAGAUGGCUAUGGGUAAUGGGUUUUCAGUUCCAUUCACUGUUUUGUUUUGCAAUGUAAUUGGUGAUUACCUUUUCAGGUUUUAGCUCCUUAUUAGUAUUGCUUUUGUUUUGUUUUGGAAGAGUUCAUUUUCUGAAGGCAAUUCUGGGUUAUUGGUCAGCCUGGAGCUCUCCUGCUUUUCUGAACCUAAUUCCAUAACAUACAAUAGUCUCACUGUCUUGGCCUGAACACUGAGUGGAGCUGCUUGAUGUUCAAGGGGGUUUAAUUUAUCACAUUGUGCUGUUCAUCAGACUUACAUGGCUUCAUGAUUUCUCUGAGGAUCUAAGUGAGAAGCUAAGUAAGUACUGACAGUGCGAGAGCUUGAAUAUCUAUGAUAAUUUCGCUCGUCACAUAAUUGGUAACGUGUACAUUCAGUUCAGGGAGGGAAGAACAUGCUGCCACUGCUCCAGAAUCUCACCAGCAUGCCUUAUUGCAGGUUAAUUUCUAAUGCACUAUAGACAUACGAGUAUUACAAGUACAAAUGCAUGUUGAAUCCCUAAUUUAGGAACAUGAUAGAUUGAUGCCUUUACUGGCUGUUACCUCAUUUACUGGGUUUAAUUUUGAACCAUUAGCUGCCCUUUUUUGUUUGUGUAUGAACCAGGCUAUAUAAAAAGGGACCUUUUGUCUUUGUACAUGGUCCUUCCCGUUGAGUAUUUGAGAAUAUUAUAACAUGAGUACUACACCUCAGAUGAGAAGAACUGAAGCAGCUUCUUUGUAUUAUGUUCUCUUAAACCAUUUAUUUUUUUGGUAAAUUGAAUUUUUGUAUCCCUCCUUUCUUUUAGGAAUAUUAUGCUCUUUUCAAGGUUAUCAAGAAAAUUGGAUGUGGGAGAUAAUGAUCUCAUCUAUUCAGUUCUAAUUCCCGGUUUAAUUUUUCAGUUCUCUUAAAAUGUUAGCUUUUGUCAGUAAAAAUGAGGAUGUAUGAUUCUAAAAGAUCAUAUUAUUUCACGUAUAUGAAUGAAUAAUUGAAAAGCCCUUUCGCACGCGCAAAGCCCAUGAAAGGCUAGCGUACAUGGAACAAAGGCAAUUGCUGAAUCUGGAGUUGUUUUCUUACUGUUCAACAUUGGCCUUGAGGUGAGUCUUUCAAUUGAAAUUUCUAUUCCAUGUAAGUUUAUCUUCACUAUGAUGAAAGUUUAUAUGAAUUACAAUGGAAAACUAACAGGACCUUGGUUUGCAUUUUUAGCUUUCUGUUGAAAGGUCGAGUUCCGUAUCUGGAUUAGGCUCUGCUCAGGUUUUGGUUACAGCUGUUGUCAUUGGCUUGGUUGCUCAUUAUGUUUGUGGGCUUCCUGGCCCUGCUGCAAUUGUAAUUGGCAAUGGUCUAGCUUUAUCAUCCACUGCAGUUGUGCUGCAGGUUUUGCAAGAGCCGGGUGAGAGCACGUCAGGCCAUGGUUGUGCAACCUUUUCGGUUAUACUUUUCCAGGUUUUGCAGGCUAUCCUGAAAUUCCAGCAGAUAUUUAGUUCCUUUAUUUUGACAGAUUAAGUUUUUGAAGCACAGAUUCUGUUUAUUCAAUAUAGUAAGGGCGUAUUCC